UACGGAGGGCGCAAGCGUUGUUCGGAAUCAUUGGGCGUAAAGCGCGUGUAGGCGGCUUGGCAAGUCGGGUGUGAAAUCCCGGGGCUCAACCCCGGAACUGCACUCGAAACUGCUUGGCUAGAGUCCCGGAGAGGAAGGCGGAAUUCCAGGUGUAGAGGUGAAAUUCGUAGAUAUCUGGAGGAACACCAGUGGCGAAGGCGGCCUUCUGGACGGUGACUGACGCUGAGACGCGAAAGCGUGGGGAGCAAAC
rnacentral:rRNA from 1 species